CAUGAGGGCACACGAUCCCAUGGGUGGUAUCUGACUGUCUUACAACUGCUCACAGAAUUUAAGAAACAGGCAUAUAUUAGCAAGGCUGAGAACUGUGUUAGGAUUCCUGAAAGAUUCUUGAGGGAGCUGCUUGCAUGUGAUCACUCUCCCAGAUAUAAGACCUUGUGUAACCUUCUGCGCUGGGAUGAAUUUCAGCCGGUGGUAUAGCUUCUGACGCUUACAGUGUAGUGGACAGUGUGGAAAAGCCUGGAGACCUGGU